rnacentral:tRNA from 1 species
GAUGGUGUAGCUCAGUGGUAGAGCGGUCGACUGUUAAUCAACUGGUGGGUGGUUCGAAUCCACCCACCAUCGCCA